UACGUAGGAGGCAAGCGUUGUCCGGAAUCAUUGGGCGUAAAGAGCGUGUAGGCGGUCCGAUAAGUCCGCUCUGAAAGCCCGGGGCUCAACCCCGGGAGGCGGGCGGAUACUGUCGGGCUAGAGUCCGGAAGAGGCAAGUGGAAUUCCUGGUGUAGCGGUGAAAUGCGCAGAUAUCAGGAGGAACACCGAUGGCGAAGGCAGCUUGCUGGGACGGUACUGACGCUGAGACGCGAAAGCGUGGGGAGCAAACAGG
rnacentral:rRNA from 1 species